GGACCGGUGGUCUAGUGGUAUGACGUGCACUUGAACUCUCAGGAGAUCGCGGGUUCGAUCCCCGCCUGGUCCA
rnacentral:tRNA from 1 species